GUCUACAAGGUCUUUUAUCUUGGAUAAAAUCAUUGAAGAGGAUGAUGCUUAUGACUUCAGUACAGAUUAUGUGUAACAGAACAAUGGCUUUUUAUGAUUUUUUUUUAACAUUUUAAGCAGACUGCUAAACUGUUCUCUGUAUAAGUUAUGGUAUGCAUGAGCUGUGUAAAUUUUGUGAAUAUGUAUUAUAUUAAAACCAGGCAACUUGGAAUCCCUAAAUUCUGUAAAAAGACAAUUCAUCUCAUUGUGAGUGGAAGUAGUUAUCUGGAAUAAAAAAAGAAGAUACCU
rnacentral:lncRNA from 1 species